rnacentral:rRNA from 1 species
AUUGAACGCUGGCGGCAGGCCUAACACAUGCAAGUCGAGCGGUAGAGAGGUGCUUGCAUCUCUUGAGAGCGGCGGACGGGUGAGUAAUGCCUAGGAAUCUGCCUAGUGGUGGGGGAUAACGUUCGGAAACGGACGCUAAUACCGCAUACGUCCUACGGGAGAAAGCGGGGGAUCUUCGGACCUCGCGCCAUUAGAUGAGCCUAGGUCGGAUUAGCUAGUUGGUGAGGUAAUGGCUCACCAAGGCGACGAUCCGUAACUGGUCUGAGAGGAUGAUCAGUCACACUGGAACUGAGACACGGUCCAGACUCCUACGGGAGGCAGCAGUGGGGAAUAUUGGACAAUGGGCGAAAGCCUGAUCCAGCCAUGCCGCGUGUGUGAAGAAGGUCUUCGGAUUGUAAAGCACCUUAAGUUUGGGAGGAAGGGUAGGUAACCUAAUACGUUGCUACUUUGACGUUACCGACAGAAUAAGCACCGGCUAACUUCGUGCCAGCAG